rnacentral:tRNA from 1 species
GGAAGUGUGGUAGAGAUGGAUGAUUGCACCAGUCUUGAAAACUGGCAGUCGGUGAUGAGCUGGCUCGUGGGUUCGAAUCCCACCAUUUCCGCCA